GUUACAUUUGAUUUUUUUUUUUAUUAGAGAGAACCUCUUUUUGAUCAGAACCUCUUACUGGUUGUGGAAUUUGCGAGAUUCCUGCGAAGUUCUACAUGUUUGUUCGUGUUUAAUUUUAGUUUCUCCAGAAGUUUAAAGUUCUUUGUUUAUACAAGAAUCCGGCUAACUUCUUUAUGUUUUGUUAUAUUUUUGAUUAGGUUUAUAUAUUAGAAGCGAGUUUCACUGUCGGGAAGCGAGGUUCUCAGAGAGAUUCAGGCAUCAUCUUCCACCUAGAUGAAAAGAAACUUCUAUUUCAUUUGGGAUCAUGGAUUUUGGUGGACUUCCAAAUAUUAUCUGUAAGAGUUUCUGUAAAUUCUUCGAUCCACUUCAAGUUCCUGAGAACACCAAUGAUCCUGAUGAUGGAUAGGCUGAAGAACUCCAAGCCCAAAUGGAGCACGACUAUGACAACAGAUCAAACCAUUAAAGAGAAAAUCAUCUUGCGUGUUGUGUCAAAGUUUACUGGCGAAGUUCUUGCAUGCUGUGUCAAGGUUUACGAUGAUUAUGAGAUUACUGAAGAUGAUGAUGAGGAUGUGAAGGGAGGAAGUUAAGUAGGAGGAUGAGGACGACAAUGAAGAUGAUGAGCAGGGAAAGAAGAUCAUAAAAAGUCAUCAGCUGGACGGAAGGUCUGGAAGCAUACAACUUGCGGAAGGUCAACAAGGUGAGAGGCCAUUGGAGAGUAAGCAACAGUGAGUAAAAUUCUUCUGCAGUAUAGAAAGUGGCUUAUUUGUGAAGAGUUGGGUCUUUCUAUUUCUGAAGUUGUAGAAUCGUUGUCCGUUUGAUACGAAAUAUCAAGUUUUGUCGAGUGGUUUGCUAAAAAAAAAUUGGUUAUUUGGUUUGGUCUGGUUUGCGUCUGAUUUUUCAUUUGUAACGUGUGUCUAAUCAUGAACUGGUUUGAACCCUUUCUAAUAGUAUUUGUGGUUUUGUUAACAA